rnacentral:tRNA from 1 species
GACUCCGUGGCCCAAUGGAUAAGGCGCUGGUCUACGAAACCAGAGAUUCUGGGUUCGAUCCCAGGUAGUCC